rnacentral:rRNA from 1 species
UACGAAGGGGGCUAGCGUUGUUCGGAAUCACUGGGCGUAAAGGGCGCGUAGGCGGCUUUGUAAGUCGGGGGUGAAAGCCUGUGGCUCAACCUUGGAACUGCCUUUGAUACUGGGGAUCUCGAGUCCGGAAGAGGUGAGUGGAACUGCGAGUGUAGAGGUGAAAUUCGUAGAUAUUCGCAAGAACACCAGUGGCGAAGGCGGCUCACUGGUCCGGUACUGACGCUGAGGUGCGAAAGCGUGGGGAGCAAACAGG